AGUUGGUCGGAUGAUCGCUGGAAAUCCAGAGGAAAGUCCGGACUUCGUGAGCAAAGCGCCAGGUAACUCCUGGGAGACGUGAGUCUACGGAAAGUGCAGCAGAAAAUAUACCGCCUUAGGGUAAGGGUGAAAAGGUAGGGUAAGAGCUUACCGCAUAAAUGGUAACAUUUAUGGCAUUGCAAACCCCGCUUGAAGCAAGACCAAAUAGAAGCUCAAUAGGAAUGCUCAUCCUGAGCUUGGGUAGGUCGCUAGAGUAUUAUGGCAACAUAAUAUCGAGAUAGAUGAUCAUCUUGAACAGAAUCCGGCUUAUAGACCAACUCAU
rnacentral:RNase_P_RNA from 1 species